AAAGCGUAAUAGCUCACUGGUCGAGUCGGCCUGCGCGGAAGAUGUAACGGGGCUAAACUAUGCACCGAAGCUGCGGCAGCGACACUAUGUGUUGUUGGGUAGGGGAGCGUUCUGUAAGCCUGUGAAGGUGUGUCGUGAGGCAUGCUGGAGGUAUCAGAAGUGCGAAUGCUGACAUAAGUAACGAUAAAGCGGGUGAAAAGCCCGCUCGCCGGAAGACCAAGGGUUCCUGUCCAACGUUAAUCGGGGCAGGGUGAGUCGACCCCUAAGGCGAGGCCGAAAGGCGUAGUCGAUGGGAAACGGGUUAAUAUUCCCGUACUUGGUGUUACUGCGAAGGGGGGACGGAGAAGGCUAUGUUGGCCGGGCGACGGUUGUCCCGGUUUAAGCGUGUAGGUGUGUGUUCCAGGUAAAUCCGGUUCACUUUAACACUGAGGCGUGAUGACGAGGCACUACGGUGCUGAAGCAACAAAUGCCCUGCUUCCAGGAAAAGCCUCUAAGCAUCAGGUAACAUCAAAUCGUACCCCAAACCGACACAGGUGGUCAGGUAGAGAAUACCAAGGCGCUUGAGAGAACUCGGGUGAAGGAACUAGGCAAAAUGGUGCCGUAACUUCGGGAGAAGGCACGCUGACACGUAGGUGAAGUGAUUUACUCAUGGAGCUGAAGUCAGUCGAAGAUACCAGCUGGCUGCAACUGUUUAUUAAAAACACAGCACUGUGCAAACACGAAAGUGGACGUAUACGGUGUGACGCCUGCCCGGUGCCGGAAGGUUAAUUGAUGGGGUCAGCGCAAGCGAAGCUCCUGAUCGAAGCCCCGGUAAACGGCGGCCGUAACUAUAACGGUCCUAAGGUAGCGAAAUUCCUUGUCGGGUAAGUUCCGACCUGCACGAAUGGCGUAAUGAUGGCCAGGCUGUCUCCACCCGAGACUCAGUGAAAUUGAACUCGCUGUGAAGAUGCAGUGUACCCGCGGCAAGACGGAAAGACCCCGUGAACCUUUACUAUAGCUUGACACUGAACAUUGAGCCUUGAUGUGUAGGAUAGGUGGGAGGCUUUGAAGUGUGGACGCCAGUCUGCAUGGAGCCGACCUUGAAAUACCACCCUUUAAUGUUUGAUGUUCUAACGUGGACCCGUGAUCCGGGUUGCGGACAGUGUCUGGUGGGUAGUUUGACUGGGGCGGUCUCCUCCUAAAGAGUAACGGAGGAGCACGAAGGUUGGCUAAUCCUGGUCGGACAUCAGGAGGUUAGUGCAAUGGCAUAAGCCAGCUUGACUGCGAGCGUGACGGCGCGAGCAGGUGCGAAAGCAGGUCAUAGUGAUCCGGUGGUUCUGAAUGGAAGGGCCAUCGCUCAACGGAUAAAAGGUACUCCGGGGAUAACAGGCUGAUACCGCCCAAGAGUUCAUAUCGACGGCGGUGUUUGGCACCUCGAUGUCGGCUCAUCACAUCCUGGGGCUGAAGUAGGUCCCAAGGGUAUGGCUGUUCGCCAUUUAAAGUGGUACGCGAGCUGGGUUUAGAACGUCGUGAGACAGUUCGGUCCCUAUCUGCCGUGGGCGCUGGAGAACUGAGGGGGGCUGCUCCUAGUACGAGAGGACCGGAGUGGACGCAUCACUGGUGUUCGGGUUGUCAUGCCAAUGGCACUGCCCGGUAGCUAAAUGCGGAAGAGAUAAGUGCUGAAAGCAUCUAAGCACGAAACUUGCCCCGAG
rnacentral:rRNA from 1 species